rnacentral:tRNA from 1 species
GUGUUUUUAGUUUAAUUGGAUAAAGCAGCAGUCUUCUAAAUUGAAUAUGCGGGUUCAAGUCCCUCAAAACACA